UACGGAGGGUGCAAGCGUUAUCCGGAUUCACUGGGUUUAAAGGGUGCGUAGGCGGCCUGAUAAGUCAGUGGUGAAAGCUCUCAGCUUAACUGGGAAACUGCCAUUGAAACUGUCAGGCUUGAGUACAAUUGAAGUGGGCGGAAUACAUCAUGUAGCGGUGAAAUGCUUAGAUAUGAUGUAGAACACCGAUUGCGAAGGCAGCUCACUAAAUUGCAACUGACGCUGAGGCACGAAAGCGUGGGUAGCGAAC
rnacentral:rRNA from 1 species